GUUCGUCUCGUGUAUGCAGUGCACAUUUUCUCAAGACCGAUUACCGCACUUUAGAAGGCUAUGAAUAUCGGAGGAAAAUCCUUAAAGGUUGAACCAUCCUAUCACAAAAUUUGCCUAUACGGUCGUUUGAGACUGAAAUGUCGAACAAAACAUUCAAGCAGUUAUGUGCAAGACAAAGCCGACAUAGGAAACGAAAUCAAGUUUCUGAAGAAAUGCCAUUAGUGCAAUUAAAUUUGGAAAAUCAAAAUGAAGAAUUUCCUGAUAACAUCAUGACAACAGUGCAGCCAGAUUCCUCAGAAAAAGUGAGGAACCAGUCUGCAGCAAAUGUUUACAGAAUCAUGAUAAGGUUGAUGAAAUGUGCCAAUCACCUUAUAAUUUUUUUAAAAUUUAAAGUG
rnacentral:lncRNA from 1 species